GGGGACUAGGGAUGCAAACCAUGGAGCAAUGGCUUCUGUGCACUGAGGCCCCCCCGGCAGGAAUGCUGGGUCACAUGGGGGUGAGGACAAAGUCCCUCCCUUGUGCGGAGCCCCCAUGAGGCCCCUAAGGUGUCUGGAGAGCUGGGGCACAUGCUCACCUUGACCACCCUUCAUGGCCCUUUUCCUGUCUGUCCACUUCUGCUAGGACAGAGCCAGGCUAGGCUUCAGCAGCUGGACUGCAUCUGGGCUUAGGUCUGGGUUCUGUUCCUGGAACUGGAAGCUGUCUUUUCACCUGGAAGCUCACCAAGGCUCAAAGCAGAGAUAAUGUCCUGCUCCAAGCUAUGCUCAGCAAGUGCCACCACUCACCAGCUCCUGGCUGUGGCAGAGUGC